rnacentral:rRNA from 1 species
CAGCAGCCGCGGGAAUACGAGGGGGGCAAGCGUUGUUCGGAAUUAUUGGGCGUAAAGGGUGCGUAGGCGGUUUGAUAAGUCAUCUGUGAAAUCUCUGGGCUCAACCCAGAGUCUGCAGGCGAAACUGUCGGGCUUGAGUAUGGGAGAGGUGAGUGGAAUUUCCGGUGUAGCGGUGAAAUGCGUAGAUAUCGGAAGGAACACCUGUGGCGAAAGCGGCUCACUGGACAAUAACUGACGCUGAUGCACGAAAGCUAGGGGAGCAAACAGGAUUAGAUACCCGCGUAGUCCCUGUCUCUUAUAC